AUUCCAGAGGUGGUGCCUAGCACCACUCCGGCAGCAAGCGAAGGUGUCCUUGACACCCGUGGUAUAGUCCCCCCGGCUAUACCACGAUAUUUUUUU
rnacentral:ncRNA from 1 species